rnacentral:tRNA from 1 species
GCCUCAGUAGCUCAGUCUGGUAGACCCUUUUGUGCUGUAAACGCACAAAAGCCUCUACGGAAAGUACGCUUCCGCACGAACGGUCGGACAAAGAGUGCGUGAUUGGUAAUCACGAGGUCCCGGGUUCAAACCCCGGCUGGGGCU